rnacentral:tRNA from 1 species
ACACUGGUGGUUCAGUGGUAGAAUUCUCGCGUUCCAUGCAGGAUACCCAGGUUCGAUUCCUGGCCAAAGCA